rnacentral:rRNA from 1 species
GAUGAACGCUGGCGGCGUGCCUAAUACAUGCAAGUCGAGCGAACGGACGAGAAGCUUGCUUCUCUGAUGUUAGCGGCGGACGGGUGAGUAACACGUGGAUAACCUACCUAUAAGACUGGGAUAACUUCGGGAAACCGGAGCUAAUUCCGGAUAAUAUUUUGAACCGCAUGGUUCAAAAGUGAAAGACGGUCUUGCUGUCACUUAUAGAUGGAUCCGCGCUGCAUUAGCUAGUUGGUAAGGUAACGGCUUACCAAGGCAACGAUGCAUAGCCGACCUGAGAGGGUGAUCGGCCACACUGGAACUGAGACACGGUCCAGACUCCUACGGGAGGCAGCAGUAGGGAAUCUUCCGCAAUGGGCGAAAGCCUGACGGAGCAACGCCGCGUGAGUGAUGAAGGUCUUCGGAUCGUAAAACUCUGUUAUUAGGGAAGAACAUAUGUGUAAGUAACUGUGCACAUCUUGACGAUACCUAAUCAGAAAGCCACGGCUAACUACGUG